rnacentral:rRNA from 1 species
AACGAACGCUGGCGGUAUGCCUAACACAUGCAAGUCGAACGACACCUCCGGGUCUAGUGGCGCACGGGUGCGUAACGCGUGGGAACCUGCCAUUAGAUUCGGAAUUACUCCCUGAAGGGGGUGCUAAUACCGGAUAAUAUCCUCGGACCAAAGAUUUAUCGCCUUUGGAUGGGCCGGCGUUGGAUUAGCAUGUGGGUAGGGUAAAAGCGUACCAAGGCGACGAUCCAUAGCUGGUCUGAGAGACAGAGCAGCCACACUGGGACUGAGACACGGUCGAGACUACUGGGCGAGGGGGCAGUGGGGGAUAUUGGAAUAUGGGGGGGAGGCUGAUCCAGCAAGGGCGGGUGAGUGAUGAAGUCGUUAGAGUUAUAAAGCUGUUUAACACGGGAUGAUAAUGACGGUACCGGGAGAAUAAGCACCGGCUAACUUCGUG